UCGCAUCUGUGCAUGCAGCAUAUCAAUAAGCGGAGGAAAAGAAACUAACAAGGAUUCCCCUAGUAACGGCGAGUGAAGCGGGAAGAGCUCAAAUUUGAAAUCUUAAAGGGUUUCCCUUUACGAAUUGUAGUUUAAAGAAGUGUUUUCUGUUGAGGUUUUGGUAAAAGUUCUUUGGAAUAGGACAUCAUAGAGGGUGAGAAUCCCGUAUUUGACCUUUACUUUCAACUUUGUGAUACACUUUCAAAGAGUCGGAUUGUUUGGGAAUGCAGUCCAAAAUGGGUGGUAAAUUUCAUCUAAAGCUAAAUAUUGGCGAGAGACCGAUAGCGAACAGGUACCGUGAGGGAAAGAUGAAAAGAACUUUGAAAAGAGAGUUAAACAGUACGUGAAAUUGUCAAAAGGGAAGCGUUUGACACCAGUGUUGUUUUUCUGAAAAUCAAUUAAAGAACUGUUUAUGCUAAGCUGUUUAGACUUUAUCAGCUAUCUGUUUAGUUUUGAGCUUUUCUUUAAUGCACUUUUCAGUUAACAAGUCAACAUCAAUUUCUUUUGCUGUAAAAAAGCUUGAGGAAGGUGGCUUGAGAUUCGUCUUAAGUGUUUAUAGCCUCUUGCCUAUGCAGUCGGAGAGAUUGAGGUCUGCAGCGUAGAUCCUUCGGGGCUAAAUGCAUUUGUGCUAAGUUAUAGCAUUUUAUAGACAACUUGUUGACUAUGAUUUGUCUUGUAGCUUACUCGCUUAUGUUAUUUUACCUACGCUUAGGAUGUUGACAGCAGUAUAGACUGU
rnacentral:rRNA from 1 species